GUGGUCGUUAGAUGCGGGUGUGAAACUGUUGUGGAUUGAUAUUUAAAUUCGAGCAAUUCAGCUAUUAUUUAUUUAUAUCAUAACAGUAAUUGUACAGUAAUACAGUGAUACAACUAGGUAUUAAAUGAAUCAAUGGAAAAUUUUUUGGUAUUAUUUCAUUUUAAACUGUAAAGUGAAGUUUUCAAUGCACGUGGGGUCAAUGCUGUGGGAAUUGGAGAAUGGAUUGUGAGCAAAAAGCUGCUUGAAGGAGAUUGAAGAAAAGUCCGCCUACGUAAUGCCUAUAUUUUGUGAACUGGGAUGAGGUGUUUGAUUGGACUCUAAUGAUAAAUUCCAGGCAUUUUUCGUUUUCCUUCUCUAUUUUGAGGUGCAAGGGGUCCUAUGUUAACUGCUGUCACGACGUUUCCUUUGUUUUUCAUUCCCGAAGCUAUGAGGAAGUUUCAUGGAAUACUCAUGCUAGAAAGAAAACGAAAACGUGGGUUCCGUACUUCAAAAAGAAAAACGAUAGGAUAGGAUUCGUUGAUCCUUCGACUGUCUGUCUGUCAAGACCCAUUUUCUCAGGAGCGCAUAGAGAUAUCAAGUGAAAAUUAAUAUCAAAAUACUCAAGUCUGCAAUCCCUUGGAGCAGUGAAAAAAUCAAAUUGCUAAGUCAACGUAAUCGAAGAUACGACCGUUUACACUCGGGGGGGAAUCAAAACCUAUAGAGUACUUCCUGGCGAUCUAGAAUAAUGAAACUUGGCAAGAAGUAAUGCCUCAUAGCACAAACAAAAGGAAAAAUCCGAAAAUCUUGCUGUCAGUUUUUCUUUCUGGACUUGAUGAGUAGCGAGAAGGAACCUUUGAUACGAUCCAAUUUCAACCACAACGCUACAUCUGUUUUUUUUCCAAGAAUUGUAUAGAAAGCUCGUUAGGUGGAACGCCAGUGUUGGAAGAAAAAUUAUGAACCAAUUGCAGCCAUAUGUGUUUUACGCAAAUUGGUCAUGAGUUUUUAGAAGUUAAGGGAAUGAAGAGCAACCAAAAGAGCGUUCUGGACAUCUCGGGUUGACCUUUUUGAUCAUUCAAACGUAAGUCUACAUUAGUGAAAGGCUGAGAACCGAGCAUAGAUGUAAUUGGAGUCAUUAAAGAAUUUUAUUUUUCCUUCCUGAACCGUGAAGGAGCUUCCUUGGAGCGCCAAAGCUGAGAAGGCAAUGCCAUAGAACGAUUGGAUCACGGCGGCGAUGUUAAAAGAGGAAUUGAAUGUGGAUUCCGUCAACAUCGUGACAGCACUAUCAGCAGCUGGUGUCAUCUAGACGUUGCUUUCCACCACCCAUCAGGGAACUACAGUGCACUGCGUGUGCAUUCGGUCGGGAGUGAUCUGGAGCGUCAAUCUUCGAACUCGAAGUCUCCAGAACUCGGAAUUAGGUAAUUUCUGAGAUUCUGAGUCUUGGAAACGGCGGGAUUUGAAUCUCAAUGUCUCCAGGACGAUGGAUCUAUUUGGAUACAUUGUUCUGAAGACUUGAGACUCAAAUCUCAAAGGGACUAAAACUCAGCAUCUCAGAAUUACCAAAUUUCGUGUUUGGAGACCUCUUGUUCGAAUUUUGGCGCAUCCACGUCCUGGGCGUUGUCCCGGACGGUCUUCGAAUUAAAAAAUCUUUCGCGCUAAACCUGGUAGACGUGAAAAAUUCAUUUUUGUCUUUUUUAAA